rnacentral:rRNA from 1 species
GCACGGGGGCAACCCUGGUGGCGAGUGGCGAACGGGUGAGUAAUGCAUCGGAACGUGCCCAGUAGUGGGGGAUAACUAGUCGAAAGAUUAGCUAAUACCGCAUACGACCUAUGGGUGAAAGCGGGGGAUUCGCAAGAACCUCGCGCUAUCGGAGCGGCCGAUGUCUGAUUAGCUAGUUGGCGGGGUAAGAGCCCACCAAGGCGACGAUCAGUAGCUGGUCUGAGAGGACGACCAGCCACACUGGGACUGAGACACGGCCCAGACUCCUACGGGAGGCAGCAGUGGGGAAUUUUGGACAAUGGGCGCAAGCCUGAUCCAGCCAUGCCGCGUGCGGGAAGAAGGCCUUCGGG